rnacentral:rRNA from 1 species
GAUGAACGCUGGCGGCGUGCCUAAUACAUGCAAGUCGAGCGAACGAACGAGAAGCUCGCUUCUCUUAUGCUAGCGGCGGACGGGUGAUUCACACGAAUCUACCCUACAUAUCAGAAUGAGGUCACUACGCGAGACCGGAGCUCGUAUCGGAUCUUAUUUUGAAACGCAUGGUUCUAAAGUGAACGACGGACUUGAUGUCACUAAUACAUAGAUCCGCGCUGGAUUAGCUAGUUGGUAAGGUAACGGCCUACCAAGGCAACGAUGCAUAGCCGACCUGAGAGGGUGAUCAGCCACACUGGAACUGAGACACGGUCCAGACUCCUACGGGAGGCAGCAGUGGGGAAUCUUCCGCAAUGGGCGAAAGCCUGACGGAGCAACGCCGCGUGAGUGAUGAAGGUCUUCGGAUCGUAAAACUCUUUAAGUAGGGAAGAACAUAUGUGUAUGUAACUGUGCACAUCUUGACGGUACCUAAACAGAAAGCCACGGCUAACUACGUG